GGGGCCGACAGGUAUCGACCGGGCAGGAAAGCCCGGCGUGGCGCGUCGCGGCGCACGCUGGCCGCGUCAACAAGCGUGCAACACGAUAAUUGCCAACAGCAAUUACGCUCUCGCUGCCUAACAAGUUAGGCGGCAUGAUCCGCUCCGACGCCCGAUGGGGGCGGAUCACAGACAUCGGGCUGGUACCCCGCGUUGCGCACCGGUGCGCGGGGACGAGAAGCAACGCAGGUGCUGGGCUGGAGACUCCGCUGCCGGACGCGGGGUCCCGGUCGAGAAUCAAGCACCGGCUACACGCGUAGAGGCGCCGAGCGGACCGCUGCGGCACGGGGGUUCGAUUCCCCCCGGCUCCACUU
rnacentral:tmRNA from 1 species